rnacentral:rRNA from 1 species
UCUGCCCUUAAGUUGGGGGAUAACUAGUCGAAAGAUUAGCUAAUACCGAAUAAUAACAUCAAUAUCGCAUGAGAAGAUGUAGAAAGUCGCUCUUUGUGGCGACGCUUUUGGAUGAGGGUGCGACGUAUCAGAUAGUUGGUGAGGUAAUGGCUCACCAAGUCAAUGACGCGUAGCUGUACUGAGAGGUAGAACAGCCACAAUGGGACUGAGACACGGCCCAUACUCCUACGGGAGGCAGCAGGU